CUGCCUGCUCCAAAUGGUAUGAGCUCGAAGUCGCAGCCUUUGACAUCUAUAGACGAGUUUAUGAAGCGCUCGGGCAUGAAUUCUUCCGGUGAGUCCCAUUGAGCUGGAUCGCGUCCCAUCGACCAAGCAUUAAUUAGAAGCCAUGUUUUUGCCGGAAUUGUGUAGCCUUUGAGAGUGCACGCUUCGAUGGACUCGUGCGGUGCCAUCAUAGGAGCUGCUGGAUGCAGUCGAAACGUCUCUUUGACCACAGCUUUGAGGUAGUGUAGAUGAUGAAGGUCAUUCUCGUUCACCAGACGACUGUCACCAACAAUGACAUGAAUCUCUUGCUGAACUUUUCUCAGGCAAUCGGGAUUUCUGAUGAGCUCCGACAAGGCCCACUCGGUCGUAACUGCGGUGGUGUCUGUUCCUCCAGCAAGGAUAUCCUUCAGAGACGUAAGAGCGGUUUAGUUCUUAUGAGAAUUGCUUUGUGAGCUUACCAGGAUCACGGCUUUUAUGGCACUGUCCUCAAUUCCGACCGACUGUAGGACGUCCACCAAGUCGCCAGAUUUCACCUUUUCUUCUCGAUGGUCGUCGACAAGCCUCUGUAAGAUGCAAUCAAUCUUUUUGCUUGUCGUUUUUAAACGUGGAAUGUAUCCUCCAGGGUCAAGCCGCUUGAGAAAAGGUAUGUAGUCGCCGAGAUUGACUGCUCCCAUCAACCGUACUGCCUCCAGGAUCACGUUCAGUGGUUCUGCGUCUUCCGAGCACUCUCCAUGACGGAACUUCUUGCCAAUGGCCAUGCGAGUUAUAACAUUCAAGGUGAGAGUUGAAAGCUCAAUCUUCAUGUUGAGGGGAACUUUGAGUUGUUCGGCCACUCUUUGCAGGAGAUUUUGAGUUUCCUCGAGCCUUGUGUUCUGGAAACUGGAGAGACGUUUUGAACUAAACAGCUCCGUCGUGCAAAUCUUCCUCAUUUCCCUCCAGUAGGGACCAUAUUUGCAGCAAGAGAUGUUCUUCGAGUUGUAGCACAGGCUUUGCGGGGAAAUGAGAACAGGCCUCGACGCAAAGACGCGAUCGUAAGACGUAAGGAUUUCUUUUGCUGCUUUCUUGGAUGAAAUGACGAUGGCUGUUUUGUUUCCCAGCUUAAUGGUCAUUAUGGGACCGAACUUGUGCGAAAGCUUGUGGAAUGACUGGUGUGGGAGCUUGAGAAGAAGAUGGAGGUGGCCAACAAUUGGCAGUGCCAUCGGUCCCGGAGGCAGCCUCAAUCGAGACUUGAGCAUCAGCCACCAUGAAACAGAUAUUACAGCAGUCAGAAUGCAAGCGAAGGUGAGCAAAAACCAAUUCAUUUGAGUGCCGGGACUUGUGGACAGAUGAUCAAGAGCCUGACAGGCAACUACAAGCAAGGUGAAAAGAAGUGAACCUAUGACAAACACAAAAGUCCCUGGAAGCUUCAUCUUGCAGCAAGAGGUGGGCAUUUGCUUGUCAAUUUAUAGUAGAUUGAAGUCUUCGAAUGUAAUGCUUCUAUUUUGUCUCAGUAAGAAUUCAUCGAGUCAUGAGCGGGAAGUCAGUCAGAUCCAACUUUCCAGGUCACGAGGUCAAGAGACGUUUAAGCACGACACAGGUGACAGAGAAAUACUGUCAUUGUGAUGAAUCGAUAUUACUCUUUCGAAACGCAAGUUCAUG
rnacentral:lncRNA from 1 species